AUUGAACGCUGGCGGCAUGCUUUACACAUGCAAGUCGAACGGUAACAGGCCGCAAGGUGCUGACGAGUGGCGAACGGGUGAGUAAUGCAUCGGAACGUGCCCAGUCGUGGGGGAUAACGCAGCGAAAGCUGUGCUAAUACCGCAUACGAUCUAUGGAUGAAAGCGGGGGACCGUAAGGCCUCGCGCGAUUGGAGCGGCCGAUGUCAGAUUAGGUAGUUGGUGGGGUAAAGGCCUACCAAGCCAACGAUCUGUAGCUGGUCUGAGAGGACGACCAGCCACACUGGGACUGAGACACGGCCCAGACUCCUACGGGAGGCAGCAGUGGGGAAUUUUGGACAAUGGGCGCAAGCCUGAUCCAGCAAUGCCGCGUGCAGGAAGAAGGCCUUCGGGUUGUAAACUGCUUUUGUACGGAGCGAAAAGGCUCUCUCUAAUACAGGGGGCUGAUGACGGUACCGUAAGAAUAAGCACCGGCUAACUACGUGCCAGCCGCCGCUGUAACAC
rnacentral:rRNA from 1 species